GAAAGCAGAGGUGGGAGGUAAUCUCUUCCGGCAGGAGGGUUUAGGGACAACUUCUUGUCUGAGAUGGCUUUUGAGCUUGCCUCUAAGAGCUUUCAGCUUUGUAAUGCAUGAGAAAUGGAACAGCCAAUGUUGCCCAGACAAGCUGAAAGAAGAGUGGCUAAACUUCUCCAACUGGCUCUCUUUGCCGACUAGCUACCUAGAUGUUCUGGCUGCUGGUCCUUUAAGAUAUUCAGAAGACGCCUUCCCGAAAGCAUCUGGAUCACCGAGAUCUGGAUCUGUUUCCUUAACCAUCAGCAAUGCAAUCUUGAGUGGCUGCUUCUCACCUGGGCCUUGCCAUCUUCAUGUGGGCUACAUAUCUCUCAGGUUUUCUCCAUCUUUUGCCAUUCUAUGAUUUUAUGCAAUACA